UUGAUUUUUUUGUUUGUUUUUCAGACAGUUACUGUAUUUACAAAGAGUUUAAAGGGUCCCCAAUAGCAGGCAGGCCUGCUGAGGAAACAAAUGGUGCUCCAAAAAAUAGGCAAGGACGCUAUCUCGACAGGACCGAAGCCCUACGAUAAUGAUCCUUCCGCAGGUUCACCUACGGAAA
rnacentral:misc_RNA from 1 species